rnacentral:rRNA from 1 species
UACGUAGGGUGCGAGCGUUAAUCGGAAUUACUGGGCGUAAAGCGUGCGCAGGCGGUUUUGUAAGCCAGAUGUGAAAUCCCCAGGCUUAACCUGGGAACUGCGUCGGAUACUGGAUGGCUUGAAUCCGGGAGAGGGAUGCGGAAUUCCAGGUGUAGCGGUGAAAUGCGUAGAUAUCUGGAGGAACACCGGUGGCGAAGGCGGCAUCCUGGACCGGCAUUGACGCUGAGGCGCGAAAGCCAGGGGAGCAAACGGGG